rnacentral:lncRNA from 1 species
CUUUCUUACGAGGGUCAGCAUUUGGCUCCGUAAGGAUCUGAUAGCAAAAGCCCAUUGUCUUUUGCAAGACCUCUUUCCUUUUACUACAUGAUGUAAACAAUAACGUCUGAGCAGCAGUUGUUGGUGAAAUGAAGUCUUCAAAUACAUCAAAUUUCAUGCGAAUAUAUUCGUAUGGAUCUUCUUGCCAAAGCUCCUCAUCGGCAUCUGUAUAGCACAUCAAUGGGAAAAUCACAUCUUGGAUAAUCCCUUGAAUAUGAGGUUUCAAAUUCUUCCAGGUGACUGCAUGCGACACUCCUUGAUUAAUGUAGUUCAGUGUUUGCUGCAGAACUCUGGGAGCCAUGUACUGCUUUUCCUUGUACUGAUACAACACCUUCAGCAACACCUGCUGAACACCAACAGCAAACGCCUUCAGGAACACUUCAGCAAACUCAUUGUAUUCCUUGGAAACAUUGCCAGGGCUUCCAUACCUCUCAAAAAGUCUAGCUAAGAUAUGCAAAGCCCACUUCUUGCACUUCCACCAAGGCAACUCAGGUCUAUCGUCU